CCGGCUGCCAGUAUUGCAGUGAUGGGAAUCGGGUGAUGGUCAAGAGGCCGGAAUUGGAGUAACACAGAGAUCUGGGACGUUGGUUGGGAGAGAAGCAGGACGUUACAGAGAUGGUCCAGAUAAGCCAGUUAUCGUGCUCCUGAAGGAUUUACAGGAGGGGACUCCUGCACAUAUCAUCUGUAAAUGCCUCUACAUCUGCCCCGAUAACCACCCCAAUCUAACCUGGAGUGAAUUGCUGACUUCCUCGGUCAGCACCAUCACAGAGAAUGGUGGUGAUGUUUCCGCUCUACUGACCUUUAACCCUUCGUUCAAGCAUCAUGGACGAACUCUCGCUGUACGUGUGACUACCCUCAAACCAGCCAUCGAGUGGUCAACUCAGUUACUCUGAGUGUAAAGUAUUCUCCUCACAACACGUCUGUCAGGAUGACACUGGAAAAAGGAAAGGUGAUUUCUCUAAGUUGUUCCAGUGACGGGAAUCCAGCAGUCCACAAUUUCAACUGGUUUAAGAUCUCCCAAGGAAAAGUGACGAAUCUGGCGCUCGCUGGUCAAACUAUUACAGUUCCUUCUGGAUUCGAUGAGGAAAUCUCCUACUACUGUGAAGCAACAAGUAUCCUGGGCAGUUCCCAGUCUCUGCCCAUUAGAAUUCCCACUGAAUACACACCACAGAAUCUCUCAAUUACUUCUCUUGAUAUGAUUAAUGCUUCAUCGACCAAUAUAAUUGAGGGGAAUUCUGCAGUGAUAAUCUGCUCUGUCGAGAGCUUCCCAGCUUCUAACCUGACGUGGUGACAUCUUAAUGUCCCAAAGAACAGAACAAGUUCCAACAAUGA